rnacentral:tmRNA from 2 species
GGGGCCGUUUUUGGAAUUCGACGGGUUGUUUAGGGCAGGGACUGCGUUUCGCCAUCCGGGCGUAAAGCGGGCAGACAUUUUAACUGCAAAAAACGAAAACACUUUCGCAGUUGCUGCUUAAAAAACAGUAACGCGUAACUUAGUCUUGGUUGCUGACAUCUAGGAUUAGGUCAUAAAAGGUCAGAUCGUAUACUUGUUUAAAUCUGGAGCAAUUAUAUUAAAUUAAUCAGGUUAGUGAUUAAUAUUAGCCUUGUUUUGUGGCGUGAUUAAUCAUGAAAUUUAAAUGACAAAGCUAUAAGCGUAGAUGUUUCUGUACCGGGCGGUCUGGACAGGGGUUCGACUCCCCUCGGCUCCAUUC